rnacentral:tRNA from 1 species
GGAUUCUAAGUUAAAGUAUUCUUCG